rnacentral:rRNA from 1 species
ACUGCUGGACAAGGAGUGUUCUGUUGAGCUCAUUUUCACACGAUGAACAACUGGCUUAGAACUGAUUCGGGCAAGGUGAAUCCGACUGUUUAAUUGUCACCUCUUCAUUGCSAGGGCCUCAAAGGGUGGUGCCACAAUGUGAUUUCUGCCCAGUGCUCUGAAUGUCAAAGUGAGGAAAUUCAACUAAGCGCGGGUAAACGGCGGGAGUAACUAUGACUCUCUUAAGGUAGCCAAAUGCCUCGUCAUCCAAUUAGUGACGCGCAUGAAUGGAUUAAUGAGAUUCCCACUGUCCCCAUCUACUGUCCAGCGAAACCACAGCCAAGGGAACGGGCUUGGGUAAAUCAGCGGGGAAAGAAGACCCUGUUGAGCUUGACUCUAAUCUGACUUUGUGAAAUGACUUAGGAGGUGUAGGAUAUGUGGGAGCUCUGGUGAUCUUGAAAUACCACUACUCUUAAUGUCACUUUACUUACUCUAUCAGACUGUGGCCUGCUUCCCAGCAGGUUUUUGUUUCAAGGCAUCUCAUCUGACUUGUUGACUUGCGUAGAGGACGUAGUCAGGUGGGCAGUUUGGCUGGGGCGGCACAUCUGUUAAAGGAUAACGCAGGUGUCCCAAGGUAAGCUCAAGGAGAACAGAAAUCUCAUGUGGAUCAGAA